rnacentral:rRNA from 1 species
UACGGAGGUGGCAAGCGUUAUCCGGAUUUACUGGGUGUAAAGGGCGUGUAGGCGGGACUGCAAGUCAGAUGUGAAAACCACGGGCUCAACCUGUGGCCUGCAUUUGAAACUGUAGUUCUUGAGUACUGGAGAGGCAGACGGAAUUCCUAGUGUAGCGGUGAAAUGCGUAGAUAUUGCGCAGAACUCCGAUUGCGAAGGCAGCAUACCGGCGGCGAUCUGACGCUGAGGCACGAAAGCGUGGGUAUCGAACAGG